rnacentral:lncRNA from 1 species
GGUAGGACGAGCAGUGCACCCUCAGAGGUGGUCUCAGGCUCGGAUGAGGUGAAGGGUCUGAAAACAGCUUGACAGGCACGAGGUGUGUGUCGUGGGCUGGCUUUUGAACAACUGUUGUUCUACAUCUUCACAGCCAGAGACCCUGCUCUGCAACAGGGAUGGACGCCCGAGAGGGAUAGACGGAUCCCUGCCCUCCAAGUCCUCCCCAAAGUCCAAGUCAACCAAAAAGGAUCUCCAGAUGGCUCACCCACGAUUAGGUCUUCUUCAAUUGUUCCAGGAGGAUUAAUUAGUCACCACCACGAGUAUGAGGACCAAAUCAAGAGGCAAUAUGGCAGAGAAAGAGAGAGGGAGGGAGGCCCUCGCCUACUGAUGAGGGAGUUUGCACUGCUGUUGGGGGAGAGAGGCAAUAAACAUAGAAACCGAUUAAUUUCAGAAAGGGUGCAGCUUGGGAAUUGAAGGUUUUAGAAGUUUCCUUAGUGGUUCCAAUGUUCAGCCAAGGCUGAGAACCAUGGCUGUAAAUCAAUGGUUCUUACAGUCCCCAGACCAGCAGCAUCAGCAUCACUUGGUAACUUAUUAGAAAUGCAAAUCCUAUAUGGGCUUUAUUGUUUUCAGGCAAUUUCUUUCUAUUCCUAAUUUGUUGAAAGUUUUUAUCAUUAAAG